rnacentral:rRNA from 1 species
UGUACACACCGCCCGUCACACCAUGGGAGUUGGCUGCACCAGAAGCCGGUAGUCUAACCGCAAGGAGGACGCCGACCACGGUGUGGUCAAUGACUGGGGUGAAGUCGUAACAAGGUAGCCGUAUCGGAAGGUGCGGCUGGAUCACCUCCUUU